UGGGAUGNUGGGCACACUAAGGGGACCGCCUAUGAUAAAUAGGAGGAAGGAGUGGACGACGGUAGGUCCGUAUGCCCCGAAUCCUCUGGGCAACACGCGGGCUACAAUGGCUGAGACAAUGGGUUCCGACACCGAAAGGNGGAGGUAAUCCUCUAAACUUAGUCGUAGUUCGGAUUGAGGACUGUAACUCGUNCUCAUGAAGCUGGAAUGCGUAGUAAUCGC
rnacentral:rRNA from 1 species